AACGAACGCUGGCGGCAUGCCUAACACAUGCAAGUCGAACGAAGCCUUCGGGCUUAGUGGCGCACGGGUGCGUAACACGUGGGAAUCUGCCCUUCGGUUCGGAAUAACAGUUAGAAAUGACUGCUAAUACCGGAUGAUGACGAAAGUCCAAAGAUUUAUCGCCGAAGGAUGAGCCCGCGUAGGAUUAGGUAGUUGGUAGGGUAAUGGCCUACCAAGCCGACGAUCCUUAGCUGGUCUGAGAGGAUGAUCAGCCACACUGGGACUGAGACACGGCCCAGACUCCUACGGGAGGCAGCAGUGGGGAAUAUUGGACAAUGGGCGAAAGCCUGAUCCAGCAAUGCCGCGUGAGUGAUGAAGGCCUUAGGGUUGUAAAGCUCUUUUACCAGGGAUGAU
rnacentral:rRNA from 1 species